ensembl:lncRNA
CUGCCUUGUUCAGGGGCAGAACGACAGAUAUUUUAUCUUGUCAACUCGGGAUUCAAUCUAACUCUGGGAUUCGACCUUCUCCCCUUCUCUCUUCUCUCUCAAUCCCCUCCCCUUCUCCCCCUCUGUCUCUUCUUCUCUCUCGAUCCCCGCCCCUUCUCCCCCUCUGUCUCUUCUUCUCUCUCUACCCCUCCCCUUCUCCCCCUCUGUCUCUUCUUCUCUCUCUAUCCCCGCCCCUUCUCCCAUUCUGUCUCUUCUUCUCUCUCUACCCCUGCCAUUCACUCUCUGUCUCUUCUUCUCUCUCUACCCCUCCCCUUCUGUCUCUGUCUCUUCUUCUCUCUCUAUCCCUCCCCUUCUAUCUCUCAGUCUCUUCUUCUCUCUCUACCCCACCAUUCUCUCUCUGUCUAUUCUUCUCUCUCUACCCCUCCUCUUCUAUCUCUGUCUCUUCUUCUUCUCUCUCUACCCCCUCCCCUUCCCCCCCUCUGUCUCUUCUUCUCUCUCUACCUCUCCCAUUCGCUCUCUGUCUCUUCUUUUCUCUCUACCCCCGCCCCUUCUCCCAUUCUGUCUCUUCUUCUCUCUCUACCCCCUCCCCUUCCCCCCUCUGUCUCUUCUUCUCUCUCUACCCCCUCCCCUUCCCCCCUCUGUCUCUUCUUCUCUCUCUACCCCUCCCAUUCGCUCUCUGUCUCUUCUUCUCUCUCUACCCCCGCCCCUUCUCCCAUUCUGUCUCUUCUUCUCUCUCUACCCCACCCAUUCUCUCUCUCUCUUCUUCUCUCUCUACCCCUCCCCUUCUAUCUCUCAGUCUCUUCUUCUCUCUCUACCCCCUCCCCUUCUCUCCCUCUCUCUUCUUCUCUCUCUACCCCCUCCCCUUCUCUCUCUGUCUCUUCUUCUCUCUCUACCCCACCCAUUCUCUCUCUGUCUAUUCUUCUCUCUCUACCCCUCCUCUUCUAUCUCUGUCUCUUCUUCUUCUCUCUCUACCCCCUCCCCUUCCCCCCCUCUGUCUCUUCUUCUCUCUCUACCCCUCCCAUUCGCUCUCUGUCUCUUCUUCUCUCUCUACCCCCGCCCCUUCUCCCAUUCUGUCUCUUCUUCUCUCUCUACCCCCUCCCCUUCCCCCCCUCUGUCUCUUCUUCUCUCUCUACCCCCUCCCCUUCUCCCCCUCUCUCUUCUUCUCUCUCUACCCCCGCCCCUUCUCCCAUUCUGUCUCUUCUUCUCUCUCUACCCCUCCUCUUCUAUCUCUCAGUCAAUUCUUCUCUCUCUACCCCCUCCCCUUCUCCCCCUCUGUCUCUUCUUCUCUCUCUACCCCGCCCCUUCUCCCCCUCUCUCUUCUUCUCUCUCUACCCCCGCCCCUUCUCCCAUUCUGUCUCUUCUUCUCUCUCUACCCCUCCCCUUCACCCCAUUCUGUCUCUUCUUCUCUCUCUACCCCCUCCCCCUUCACCCCAUUCUGUCUCUUCUUCUCUCUCUACCCCCUCCCCCUUCACCCCAUUCUUUCUCUUCUUCUCUCUCUACCCCCACCCCUUCUCCCAUUCUGUCUCUUCUUCUCUCUCUACCCCUCCCCUUCACCCCAUUCUGUCUUUUCUUCUCUCUCUACCCCCUCCCCCUUCACCCCAUUCUGUCUCUUCUUCUCUCUCUACCCCCUCCCCUUCACCCCAUUCUGUCUUUUCUUCUCUCUCUACCCCUUCCCCCUUCACCCCAUUCUGUCUAUUCUUCUCUCUCUACCCCUCCCCUUCUCUCUCUGUCUCUUCUUCUCUCUCGAUCCCCGCCCCUUCUCCCCCUCUGUCUCUUCUUCUCUCUCUACCCCCUCCCCCUUCACCCCAUUCUGUCUCUUCUUCUCUCUCUACCCCCGCCCCUUCUCCCAUUCUGUCUCUUCUUCUCACUCUACCCCUCCCCUUCACCCCAUUCUGUCUCUUCUUCUCUCUCUACCCCCUCCCCCUUCACCCCAUUCUGUCUCUUCUUCUCUCUCUACCCCUCCCCUUCUCUCUCUGUCUCUUCUUCUCUCUCGAUCCCCGCCCCUUCUCCCCCUCUGUCUCUUCUUCUCUCUCUACCCCUCCCCUUCUCCCCUCUGUCUCUUCUACUCUCUCUAUCCCCGCCCCUUCUCCCCCUCUGUCUCUUCUUCUCUCUCUACCCCUCCCCUUCUCUCUCUGUCUCUUCUUCUCUCUCUACCCCUCCCCUUCUCCCCCUCUGUCUCUUCUUCUCUCUCUACCCCCUCCCCUUCUCCCCAUUCUGUCUCUUCUUCUCUCUCUACCCCUCCCCUUCACCCCAUUCUGUCUCUUCUUCUCUCUCUACCCCCUCCCCCUCUGUCUCUUCUUCUCUCUCUACCCCUCCCCUUCACCCCAUUCUGUCUCUUCUUCUCUCUCUAAACCCUCCCCUUCUCCCAUUCUGUCUCUUCUUCUCUCUCUACCCCCUCCCCUUCACCCCAUUCUGUCUCUUCUUCUCUCUCUACCCCCUCCCCUUCACCCCAUUCUGUCUCUUCUUCUCUCUCUACCCCCUCCGCUUCUCUCCCUCUGUCUCUUCUUCUCUCUCUACCCCCUCCGCUUCUCCCCCUCUGUCUCUUCUUCUCUCUCUACCCCCUCCCCUUCACCCCAUUCUGUCUCUUCUUCUCUCUCUACCCCCUCCCCUUCACCCCAUUCUGUCUCUUCUUCUCUCUCUACCCCCUCCCCCUCUGUCUCUUCUUCUCUCUCUACCCCUCCCCUUCUCCCAUUCUGUCUCUUCUUCUCUCUCUACCCCCUCCCCUUCACCCCAUUCUGUCUCUUCUUCUCUCUCUACCCCCUCCGCUUCUCUCCCUCUGUCUUUCUCUCUUUUUUUCUCUCUCUCUCACGCACACGUUUUUUUUUAAAUUUCAUGACCUAUAAAGUAAACCAGACCCAGCUUUAUGCACUGGUACCCAGAAUGACCCAGCUGCUACAGUACACACCAGUCUGUCCUCCUGACCUACCAUUUGGGAAGCCCUGUGCUAGAUUUCUACACUUACAUUACCUCUCCCAAUGGUAG